UACGUAGGGGGCAAGCGUUGUCCGGAAUCAUUGGGCGUAAAGCGCGUGUAGGCGGCUCGGUAAGUCUGCUGUGAAAGUCCAGGGCUCAACCCUGGGAUGCCGGUGGAUACUGUCGAGCUCGAGUCCGGAAGAGGCGAGUGGAAUUCCUGGUGUAGCGGUGAAAUGCGCAGAUAUCAGGAGGAACACCAAUGGCGAAGGCAGCUCGCUGGGACGUGACUGCCGCUGAGACGCGAAAGCGUGGGGAGCAAACAGG
rnacentral:rRNA from 1 species